UCCGACCAGACACAUAAAAAACAUCGGCUUAAACCUUAAGGCCGUUUUAUGGUUGAGCGUAGAAUGGACGGCGUACCCCCUCAGACCCCUCUGCGUCUACGCCGGGCCCUAGUCUGUAGCCUGAUGUGCACCUCGCGAAAAAUGUAACAAUGUGUCACAGCGAUGCUCGUCGCUCGGCCGUGGCUUGGUAGCGUUGCAUUUUGUCCGACUUACUUCCUGGUUCUCCUUCUCCAGAAACAACAUGAAACCAAGGACAUGGUUAACUUUUACAGAUGUCUCACCGGGGUCAGAAAACACAGGGGAGACACUUUGUUUUUCUCACUACCCUAGAGUCGGUACUCGCUACGAAGCUAAUCAAUGUCACUCUCUCACUUCUCCCUCGCUCUAUCACCCCCCCCCAACACACACACACACACACACACACACAUGCCACAACAGCGCACAAGUAUAAACACCAGGCCACUUACGUAGGCUAAGGCGAAAGUUCUACGUGGAGCCUCCACACAAGCGUGAAACGGCCUUUAGACUACAUC